rnacentral:rRNA from 1 species
GNUAGACGCUACGGGUGCUURAUACAUGCAAGUCGAGGGGCAGCAUAAUGUAGCAAUACAUGGUGGCGACCGGCGCACGGGUGCGUAACGCGUAUGCAACCUACCCAUAAUUGGGGGAUAACGUUGAGAAAUUGGCGCUAAUAUCCCAUGUGAUAUUGAAGGGGCAUCUUUUUAAUAUUAAAGAGAUUUGAUUAUGGAUGGGCAUGCGUAUCAUUAGCUAGUUGGUAAGGUAACGGCUUACCAAGGCGACGAUGAUUAGGGGUUCUGAGAGGACAACCCCCCACACUGGAACUGAGACACGGUCCAGACUCCUACGGGAGGCAGCAGUAGGGAAUAUUGGUCAAUGGAGGCAACUCUGAACCAGCCAUGCCGCGUGAAGGAAGACGGCCUUAUGGGUUGUAAACUUCUUUUAUUAUAGAAUAACCACAGAUACGUGUAUCUGUCUGCAAGUAUAUAAUGAAUAAGCACCGGCUAACUCCGUGCCAGCAGCCGCGGUAAUACGGAGGGUGCCAGCGUUAUCCGGAUUUAUUGGGUUUAAAGGGUGCGCAGGCGGACUUGUAAGUCAGGGGUGAAAAUUUGCAGCUUAACUGUAAACGUGCCUUUGAUACUGCAAGACUAGCGUGUAAAUGGCGUAACUGGAAUGUGACAUGUAGCGGUGAAAUGCAUAGAGAUGUCACAGAACACCGAUCGUGAAGACAGGUUACGAAUUUACAACGGACGCUCAUGCACGAAAGCGUGGGGAUCAAACAGGAUUAGAUACCCUGGUAGUCCACGCUGUAAACGAUGUUCACUCGUUGUUGGGUAGUAAUACUCAGUGGCUAAGCGAAAGCGAUAAGUGAACCACCUGGGGAGCACGAUCGCMAUGGA